GUCCGCUUCUCUUCCCCAGCCCUCCGCGCAGCUCAGCCGUAAGCCGUACUGUAAGCCGACUCUAGAGGGGAAAACGGCGUCUUCCAAUUCAGGAGAAAGACUGAGGCUUCCGGUUUGCCGUUCUAGCCCGCAGAGUUGCCUGUCAGCAGCUACACAUUGCUGAUUCAUCCUGCUUCCUUACAGUACAUACCAGAGGAAAUAGGAUUGCAGUUCUUGAGAGAACAUAUCUCAGAUGGAAACAUGCAGCAUUCAAGGUCUCUACAGGCAUUCAACCUGAACUCAUGAGGCUUAAAUACAUGGUGUGUUCAAGCUUCAUACUGGUAUCUUUUCACAUUCGUGUCUUCUAGAAAACAUUGUGCUAAAUUUCACACGGGAGAUAUUUUACACAUUUUCUUGUAGGCAACAACUGUGAUAAGGAAGAGCUCUUAGUCACUAAAAUACUUGCAAUCACUAAUAGAUAAGCUAAUGGAGAUGAGUAUACCACCAUUUUAUCUCAAACUCUACAUCACUUUUUAACCAGCUUUAUUAAAGUUAAGUGUCCUGCUCAGAUUUGGACUAGCCUCUAUUUCCACUUAAGACAAAACAGAAUUUUAAAUGAAACUUUAUUGAUUUUCAAUUCUGGUUUAUGUUAUGAAAACAAAAAAUAUAUAUAUUUAUACAAUGUUAGAUAAUAUCCAUACUUUAAGUCAUGGGUGUCAAACUCGUCACGACACAUGACGUGUCGUGAUAUAUCACGACUUUUUUCACAUAGUGGGAGCUGGGGUGGGCACAGCCUCCCUAUGAUGAAACCGGCCCGUGGGCCAGCAGUUGACACUCUUGCUCUAAGUCAAUGAGUUUUAAUAUUUGCCUAACCAGAACUGAUGUUAGCUAUCAUCAAGAUUCAGUUUAAACAUAAUCUGGAUUAUUUCAUUUUUAGCUAUUUGGUUAUUGCCCUCCCAUUAUAUUUUUUUUAAAAAAAUUAUACUUAAGAAAAUUGUAGGACAAGAACAUUAGACUUUGUGUCCAACCUUCUUAAAAUUUAAAUUAACAAUUUUAAUUUCUAGCAUAGGUUUUUUUUAGUAAAAAUCAACUUAAAAUAUUAUCAUUGGUGCAGUCAGGAAAAGCAAGUAGACCAGCUGCAGAGCUUUUAAAAUAUGAGCACAAAUGGGAGGUGUCAGCUCAAGGAAGUGAUCAACUAGAGAUAAUAUCAUAUGGGUAGGAAUAAUGGAGAAUUUAGAGUAGGGGUGUCAAACUGGCAGCCUGCUGGCCAGAUGUGUCACAUGCAGGCCAUGCCCACCCCUGGGUCCACAAAGGCAAAAAAUGUUGCAAUACGUCACAAUAUAUCAUGUGAGGCGAUCGAGUUUGACACCCAUGAUUUAGAGGAUGAGAUAGGAUGGUGAAUAUGUUUGCUAAUUCUAGCUGCUUUCUUCAAAUACAGAUUAUAGCUAUGUAAUGUUUUACACAUUACAAUUACAAUUCUCUAUAAAGAUUCCCUAGGAAUUUGUCUCACUGGAUGUGUUUGUACAGAAUGUUAAACCAGAUUUAACCAUGGUUUACUGCAUUAAUCUAGUUGCCAGGGCAUACCAAACACACUGAAGCAUGAACUAACCACAAUACUACUGUUGUUGCCUCUAAAUUCUCAACCAUUGCAGGAAAGGCAUGCAGAAAAGUCUUAAUUUUUUGUUGUCAUCUAAUGGUUGUCCAGAGUUCCACAGCUGUGAUCUGAUAAAACCUAUACUUAACUGACCUGAUUUGGCAAUUCAGUAUGCAUGUAAGGGGAAUGUCAAGCUACAAACCCUACGGUCUUUAGGACUGCGACAUACUUCUAACUUGCCAACAGUGCGGGAAGAAGAGAGGGGAGAAUUUUGAAUCCACAGGUGUCCUUAUCAGUGUGAGAGCCGGAGCUGUUGAAGAGUUAUUUUGGCAAACCAAAGUUUCUUCUCAUAAUACUUACUGAACAAUGUACUGGACAAUGUGACCCAAAUGUGUCAGAGAGGGGAAGGAAAGUUCCAUCAUUUUAAUUAACUGCUUCCCGCCAUUUCCUCAGAGCUAGCUUUCCUUUAACCCUGCCGGUUUGUUUCUGCUCAAUAAAGAAUACAUUAGAGAA